rnacentral:rRNA from 1 species
AGAGUUUGAUCCUGGCUCAGAAUGAACGCUGGCGGCAGGCCUAACACAUGCAAGUCGGACGGUAACAGGAGAGCUUGCUCUCGCUGACGAGUGGCGGACGGGUGAGUAAGGCAUGGGAAUCUGCCCUUUGGUUGGGGAUACCGUAUGGAAACGUACGUUAAUACCGAAUGAGAUCUACGGAUGAAAGGUGGCCUCUAUUUAUAUGCUAUCGCCAAGGGAUGAGCCCAUGUUAGAUUAGCUAGUUGGUGAGGUAAUGGCUCACCAAGGCGACGAUCUAUAGCUGGUUUGAGAGGAUGAUCAGCCACACUGGGACUGAGACACGGCCCAGACUCCUACGGGAGGCAGCAGUGGGGAAUAUUGGACAAUGGGGGCAACCCUGAUCCAGCCAUGCCGCGUGUGUGAAGAAGGCCCGAGGGUUGUAAAGCACUUUUAGUGAGGAGGAAAGGUUAGUUGCUAAUAUCGGCUAGCUGUGACGUUACUCACAGAAAAAGCACCGGCUAACUCUGUGCCAGCAGCCGCGGUAAUACAGAGGGUGCAAGCGUUAUUCGGAAUUACUGGGCGUAAAGCGCGCGUAGGCGGAUUGUUAAGUCAGUUGUGAAAGCCCUGGGCUCAACCUAGGAACGGCGAUUGAAACUGGCAGUCUAGAGU